rnacentral:rRNA from 1 species
AUUGAACGCUGGCGGCAUGCCUUACACAUGCAAGUCGAACGGUAACGCGGGGCAACCUGGCGACGAGUGGCGAACGGGUGAGUAAUGUAUCGGAACGUGCCCAGUUGUGGGGGAUAACUGCUCGAAAGAGCAGCUAAUACCGCAUACGACCUGAGGGUGAAAGCGGGGGAUCGCAAGACCUCGCGCAAUUGGAGCGGCCGAUAUCAGAUUAGGUAGUUGGUGGGGUAAAGGCUCACCAAGCCAACGAUCUGUAGCUGGUCUGAGAGGACGACCGGCCACACUGGGAGUGAGACACGGCCCAGACUCCUACGGUAGGCAGCGGUGGGGAAUUUUGGACAAUGGGCGCAAGCCUGAUCCAGCCAUGCCGCGUGCGGGAAGAAGGCCUUCGGGUUGUAAACCGCUUUGGUCAGGGAAGAAAAGACUCCUGUUAAUACCGGGGGUUCAUGACGGUACCUGAAGAAUAAGCACCGGCUAACUACGUGCCAGCAGCCGCCGUAAAAC